GACAGAGGGUGCAAGCGUUAAUCGGAAUUACUGGGCGUAAAGCGUGCGCAGGCGGUUUUGUAAGUCUGUCGUGAAAUCCCCGGGCUCAACCUGGGAAUGGCGAUGGAGACUGCAAGGCUAGAAUCUGGCAGAGGGGGGUAGAAUUCCACGUGUGAGCAGUGAAAUGCGUAGAUAUGUGGAGGAACACCGAUGGCGAAGGCAGCCCCCUGGGCUAAGAUUGACGCUCAUGCACGAAAGCGUGGGGGAGCAAACAGG
rnacentral:rRNA from 1 species